GAUGAACGCUGGCGGCGUGCCUAAUACAUGCAAGUCGAGCGAACAGACGAGGAGCUUGCUCCUCUGACGUUAGCGGCGGACGGGUGAGUAACACGUGGAUAACCUACCUAUAAGACUGGGAUAACUUCGGGAAACCGGAGCUAAUACCGGAUAAUAUAUUGAACCGCAUGGUUCAAUAGUGAAAGACGGUUUUGCUGUCACUUAUAGAUUGAUCCGCGCCGCAUUAGCUAGUUGGUAAGGUAACGGCUUACCAAGGCAACGAUGCGUAGCCGACCUGAGAGGGUGAUCGGCCACACUGGAACUGAGACACGGUCCAGACUCCUACGGGAGGCAGCAGUAGGGAAUCUUCCGCAAUGGGCGAAAGCCUGACGGAGCAACGCCGCGUGAGUGAUGAAGGUCUUCGGAUCGUAAAACCCUGUUAUUAGGGAAGAACAAAUGUGUAAGUAACUAUGCACGUCUUGACGGUACCUAAUCAGAAAGCCACGGCUAACUACGUG
rnacentral:rRNA from 1 species